rnacentral:lncRNA from 1 species
AGGGUCAAGCAUUGGUUCCCGAGCCUCUCACAAGGAAGCGCGCGUCGGGGUUGCGGGCUGGGAGCAGGGCUCCGGGGCCGAGCUGCUAACAGCCAGAAGGAGGGACUCAAUUCGAGCAGCUUUAUUAUCUGGCGGGAAGGUAGCAGAAUAAGGAAGUGACUGACAGCGCCUGACUUCCUACUAUGAAAAAGUGUUCUGGUAUCAUUGGAUUGGAGAAACUGACCCACUGGAACAUAAAACAUACUUGGUUCAAAUGGCUUCAUCCAGAUUUGAGAAGUCAUUCGAGAGUGUUUGAAACCAAGGUAAGGGUCAUUUUAUUAUGGAGUUUAUUAGUGUUGUUAGGGACAAGUUACUGCUAAAUUGGUAAAUAGAAUUUAAGAAGAAGCCUGUGAACCUAGACGUAUUAUGAAAUACUUUAUAUCUGUUCAUAUUUUGAUAACUUAGAAUCUGAACAUAUUAGAAGGACAGGGGCUUGUCCCCACCUGGACAAAAGUAGCUUCUACGUAGCUUCAGUCAGAGCUAAUAAUCAUUUGGUUUGAAUGGCCAUACAUAGUGUUUCAAAUUUUGGCAGAUUUCAUCCUGUUAAUUUGGGUGGCAAAUAUCUACACGCAUACCCUAUUACUGGGUUUUCUUUCAAGCAUCAGAAGGAGCUUUAUUUGUCCUUCUUCGAGUUUUAUGGAGAUACUAUUAACAUACAGCACUGUGUAAAUUUAUGGUGUGCGGCACAAUGAUCUGACUUACAUAUCUCAUGAAGUGUUGAUCACGAUAAGCUUACUGUCAUCUCAUAGAGCUAUAAAAGAAAAGAAAAAGUAUUUUUUUCCUUGUGGUGAGAACUCAGAAUUUACUCUUAUCAGUUUUCAUAUAUAACAUCCAGUUAUUAAUUUUAUUAAUCAUGUUGCCUAUGCUAUUGGUUGGUGUUAGUUAGAACAUUCUACAAUAUUGUGAUUUUGUGGCUUUUAGAGGACUACUCAUUUCGUGUAAGUCUCAAUUUCCAAAUAUAAAGCAAGGAACAAGUGAAGCAUGUUUUAACCUACCCAGGUAGUCCACGAGUCCCUUUGCAGCAUGCACCGCACUUUCUGUGACUUAUACCCGCAUAAAAUUCAGCAGAGAAUUCAGAACACAAUAUUUGAAGUGUAUCUUAAUAGCAGCUGAUGACAGCAAUGUUUGAGUGGUUUAGGAACUUUGAAUGGCAAGAUCUGUAAUCUGUAAAGUAUAAUUAAAAUGUAUAAUUACAAAGUCUAUAAUCUGUAAUGUGUAACUUUGAAGUUUGUUUUUCCAAAGAGAUUUUUAUGCUGCUUGUGGAUCAGGUAUGAAUUACUCAUAUCUGUAACAGCAACUAAUGCUACUUGACUGAGUCAGUGAGUGACUGAAAAACAACUAUUUGAUAGUUAUCAAAAUAAGUACAAUUAUCGUGUGACCUGCAAUUAAUACAAAGUAGGGGAAAGGUGUAAAGGAAUAUAAACUAAAAAAUAACAGUUCCCUUUAUAAGAAGACUAGACUUAGAGGAAUGAAAUUUACUUACAUCUUGUUAGAAAGCUGUUGUGGAAGUGAGUAGCAUCUGUAAUGGUUGAUAGUCCAGCUUUAAAAACGUAGUGGACAGAGGUCAUGCGCCUAAGGAAUUUCCUACCUUCAUGCCCAGAGAGCUUGAUGCCCUUCUCUUUGAGUGGUGGGGACAGUCCUUUUUGUUCUUCAAAUGUGCAGUCAUAUAUACUGAACUGGAACCAUUGAGAUUAAUGGCUUAUCAGUGUCGAAAGCCUGAGGCCAGCAAUGGAUGCUAACUUACCGAAAUCCAAGUAUAUUUUAAAAGAGCGCUGUGGGCACUUGAAGUAUGGAUGCUGAGGUCUCAACGUCAAUGAGCACCUUCUCCAAAGGAAAAAGACAAUGGCUUUAUUUUUCACAUAACCUAUCAAAGGUGAAUUUUGCUGCUUUUAAGCAAAUCAAAAUUAUAGGUGACUUACUACUGCAAAAAUGUUGUAUGUGUGUGUAUGUGUAUGUCUAUGGGUAUACCUAUCAGCAAGACUUUUCUCCUUCCAAGAGGAAAGAUAUUUCUAUAGUCACUUCAUGUGCGGUUUCUGCUUUCCUCACCCAGCUGUCCAACUGGGACGAUUCUCUUUUUCCAUGUGUCUCCAGACACAGGAGAAGGCUUAAGGAGAAUGACGCAGGCAGGGGCCGGUGGCCUGGCUUCUCCCCGCUUCACGGCCUGCCUUCUGGGGCCUGGCCUGGUGUGUGGCUGCUGUUUAUACCUGCUGAAGUGCUUUCUGUGUUUGCGUUGGCGCUGCCAGCUUACAUGCUGAAGCCCCAAGCCGUUCAUGAGGUCUGUCCCAGAGCUUUGAAACCUAUGAGCUGGCGGCUGGGGCGAGAGAAUGUCUCUCUCAAUUUUUGGGUGAACUCCAUGUUUUUUCCAAGAGGUUAGAUCACUGUCCGCAGUCCAGGCUUGCUAGACAGAAUGUAACAGUUACUGUUUGAGACAUCCGGAACGUUUAAGGGCAAAAGGCAGAGGGGGAAGGGAAGAGAAAAAUAAAAGCUCAAGGUCAACUUCACAGCUUGAAAGCGAACAUUUUUACAUCUGGUAAACAAAAAUUUUUACGGAACUGGAAAACUUUAUCACCAAGGAAGGAAAAAAAAAAAAAA